UUAAAUUAAUAAGGGCGUAUGGUGGAUGCCUAGGCAUUAGAAGACGAAGAAGGACGCGACAAACAGCGAAAUUGCCUCGGGGAGUUGUAAGUAAACAUUGAUCCGGGGGUAUCCGAAUGAGGAAACUUACCAAGAAAGGUAUCCUAAAAUGAAUACAUAGUUUUAGUGAAGGAAACCCUGUGAACUGAAACAUCUUAGUAACAGGAGGAAAAGAAAGAAAAAUCGAUUGCCUUAGUAGUGGCGAGCGAAACGGCAAUAGCCCAAACCAAUCUACGGAUUGGGGUAGUAGGACACUUCGAAACGAGGAUAAGAGCUAAAGAUAGCUAAAUGAUUUGGGAAAGUCAGUCAAAGAAGGUGAAAACCCUGUAGGCGAAAUCUGAAGCACUCAGAAGUGAAUCCUGAGUACGGCGGGACACGAGAAAUCCUGUCGGAAUCAACGGGGACCAUCCCGUAAGGCUAAAUACUCUCUAAUGACCGAUAGUGAACAAGUACCGUGAGGGAAAGGUGAAAAGAACCCCGGGAGGGGAGUGAAAUAGAGAAUCUGAAACCAUAUGCUUACAAAAAGUUCGAGCCCGUUAAAGGGUGAGAGCGUGCCUUUUGCAGAAUGAGCCGGCGAGUUAUGGUAUUGUGCAAGGUUAAGUAGAAAAUACGGAGCCGAAGCGAAAGCGAGUCUUAAAAGGGCGAAAAAGUACAAUGCUGUAGACCCGAAACUGAGUGAUCUAGCCAUGAGCAGGUUGAAGUGUAGGUAACACUACAUGGAGGACCGAACCAGGGUACUAUGUAACGUGCUUGGAUGACUUGUGGUUAGCGGUGAAAUUCCAAUCGAACUCAGAGAUAGCUGGUUCUCCCCGAAAUAGGUUUAGGCCUAGCCUUGAAGAAUUUCCUCUGGAGGUAGAGCACUGAAUGUGGAAUGGCCGCGUCUAGCGGUACUGACUGCAAUCAACCUCCGAAUGCCAGAGUAGUUAGCUUCAGGAGUCAGUUUAUGGGUGAUAACGUCCAUAUGCGAGAGAAAAACAAUUCAGACCACCAGUUAAGGUCCCAAAAUAUAUGUUAAGUGGGAAAGGAUGUGGAGUUGCACGAACAGCUAGGAGGUUGGCUCAGAAGCAGCCAUCCUUUAAAGAGUGCGUAAUAGCUCACUAGUCGAGUGGCUCUGCGCCGAAAAUGUACCGGGGCUAAACAUAUUACCGAAACUGUGGAUUUAUGCGAUAGCAUAAGUGGUAGGGGAGCGUUCUAAGGGCGAUGAAGAUAGAUCGAGAGGACUAUUGGAGCGCUUAGAAGUGAGAAUGCCGGUGUGAGUAACGUAAGGUAGGUGAGAAUCCUACCCACUGAUUGACCAAGGAUUCCAGGGUCAAGUUCGUCUACCCUGGGUAAGUCAGGACCUAAGGCGAGGCUGAGAAGCGUAGUCGAUGGACAACAGGUUUAUAUUCCUGUACUAUUUAUAGGACUGAAGGAGUGACAAAGGAAGCUAGUAAGAGCCAUUUAAUGGAUUAUGGUCUAAGCACAAAGACUGAUACAUAGGAAAAUCCGUGAUAUCGAACGGUUGAAGUGUGAUGGCGAAGCAGUCUACGGACAGCGAAGUCUUAUGAUGCUAAACUUUUUAAAAAAGCUUCUAAAGAAAUGCUAUAAAUACCUGUACUAAGAACCAACGCAGGUGGUCAAGGAGAGAAUCCUAAGGUGAGCGAGAGAACUAUGGUUAAGGAACUCGGCACAAUGAUCCCGUAACUUCGGAAUAAGGGAAGGUCUUGAAAAAGACCCGCAGUGAAUAGGCCCAAGCGACUGUUUACCAAAAACACAGGUUUCUGCAAAAGCGUAAGCUGAAGUAUAGGAGCUGACGCCUGCCCAGUGCUGGAAGGUUAAGAUGAUUUGUAAGAUGGACGAAAGUCGAUAACAUCGAAGCAAUGAAUUGAAGCCCCAGUGAACGGCGGCGAUAACUAUAAUCGUCCAAAGGUAGCGAAAUUCCUUGUCAGGUAAGUUCUGACCCGCACGAAAGGCGUAACGA
rnacentral:rRNA from 1 species